GAGCUUGUGUGUGAUUAUGACUCUUCUCAGGUAGAUUUGACUCUUUUCCAGGCCUGAGCUGCAAUGAUUAUGAUCCUGGUUCUCAGUAACCACUUUCUUUUAGCUGAUUAGUGACACACCGCUGAUAUCAGCAUUUCUGUCACUAUUUUAUACUGCCCUCAGUGAGGUCGGCAUAACCUUGAUGACAGGUUCCCUUUAAAUCUGCUCCAUGGCUUACUUUCACCAUUAAACAAUACAGUUUAAGAUUUAAAGCAUGGACAGUCUAAAAAGGCUGCAGACUGAUCAGUGGCUGAUGCGGGAUGAUAAAUCCAGUGCACUUUUAGACCUCAUUCACAUUCCCAUUUUUCACAGACCUGUGCCAUCGGCAUUUUCUGCAGAUGGACUCAGGAUAAAUAAGCAAUAUCAGAUAGGUGGGGUUCCAACUCAUGGCACCCCCACCUAUCAGUAUGUGGAAGAGAACGCAACAGUAGUGUAAGCGCUUCAUUCUUUUCACUUUUAAUUUGCUCACCGUUCAAAUGGCAACAGCAAGCAGGUCGCCGGCGAGCAGAUUAAGAGUGAAGAGAAAGCAGCGCUCACACAGGCACUGCGUUCUCUUCAAAC